AUUCCUGUUGAUCCUGCAGGAGAUUGCUGCUAUCAGGGUUCGACUAAGCCAUGCAAGUCCAGGGGUCGCAAGACACCGGCAAACUGCUCAGUAACACGUUGAUAAUCUGCCCUUAGGUCUGGGAUACCCUCGGGAAACUGAGGUUAAGACCGGAUGGGAGACUAGUUCUGGAAAGAAUUGUCUCCUAAAGGCAACGCCUAAGGAUGAGUCAGCGGCCGAUUAGGUUGUUGGUGGGGUAAAGCAUUCCGGAGGAAUGAUUAAAUUUCUCGGAAUUUAUAUGCCCACCAAGCCGACGAUCGGUAGGGGCCUUGAAAGAGGGAGCCCCGAGAAGGGAACUGAGAUACAGUCCCUAGCCCCACGGGGUGCAGCAGGCGCGAAAACUUUACAAUGCACGAAAGUGUGAUAAGGGAACCCUGAGUGCUCAGUUAUACUGGGCUUUUGCCAAGAGUAAAAACCUUGGCGAAUAAGUGGUGGGCAAGACGGGUGCCAGCCGCCGCGGUAACACCCGCGCCACAAGUGGCAAUCGUUGUUAUUGGGCCUAAAGCGUCCGUAGCAGGUCCUGUAAAUCUCUUGUGAAAUUGUUGCGCUCAACGUAACAGCGCGCAAGAGACACUGCAAGACUUGGGACCGGGAGGGGUUAGAGGUAUUUCUUGGGGAGCGGUAAAAUGCUAUAAUCCAAGAAGGACCACCUAUGGCGAAGGCAUCUAACCAGAACGGAUCCGACUGUGAGGGACGAAAGCUAGGGGAGCGAACCGGAUUAGAUUUCGGGCAUCUUUGAAUAACAAUUCUUGUCUGUUCGUCGACAAAACUACUGGAUAAGAUAAGAAAUGAAGAUGAUAACCUGACUAAAUACCCGAGUAGUCCUAGCUGUAAACGCUGCGAGCUAGGUGUUGCACAAUCUUCAAGAUUGCGCAGUAUCGAAGCGAAGGCGAUAAGCUCGCCGCCUGGGAAGUACGGUCGCAAGGCUGAAACUUAAAGGAAUUGGCGGGGGAGCACUACAAGGGGUGCGGCGUGCGGUUUAAUCUAACUCCACACAGAGAAUCUCACCAGAAGCGACGGCAGGAUGAAAGUCAGAUUAAAGGUUUUACUUGACGAGCCGAGAGGUGGUGCAUGGCCGACGUCAGCUCGUGCCGUGAGGUGUCCAGCUAAGCCUGGUAACGAGCGAGACCUGUGCCUACAAUUGCUAACGGGCGCUUUUGCGUGACUGAGCACAUUGUGGGGACUGCCCUGGAAACAGGGAGGAGGGUGCAGGCUACGUUAGGUCUGUAUGCCCCGAAUCUUCUGGGCUACACGCGCGCAGCAAUGGUAAGGACAAUGGGACACAACUCCGAAAGGAGAAGUUAAUCCUCGAAACCUUAUCCAAGUCCGGAUUGAGGGUUGUAACCCACCCUCAUGACGAUGGAAUCCCUAGUAAUCGGGCGUUAUCAGCGUCCGGUGAAUACGUCCCUGCUCCUUGCACACACCGCCCGUCAAACCACUCGAGCAGGGUCUAGAUGAGGCCCAGUUCUUUGACUGUGUCGAAUCUAGGCUCAGUGAGAAGGGUUAAGUCGUCACAAGGUAGCCGUAGGGGAACCUGCGGCUGGAUCACCUCCU
rnacentral:rRNA from 1 species